rnacentral:rRNA from 1 species
UACGUAGGCGGAAGAUGAAGUCAGUGGUGAAAUCCCGCAGCUCAACUGUGGAACUGUCAUUGAUACUGGUUUUCUUGAAUUUAGUUGAGGUAGGCGGAAUGUGUAAUGUAGCGGUGAAAUGCUUAGAUAUUACACAGAACACCGAUUGCGAAGGCAGCUUACUACACUACGAUUGACGCUGAGGUACGAAAGCGUGGGGAGCGAACAGGAUUAGAUACCCUGGUAGUCC